rnacentral:lncRNA from 1 species
CCUCAGUGUUACUCAUGCUGCCUCCAUCCCUGGUGCCCUCUCUGUAUCUCUGUGCCUUUGUGCACACUGCUUCCUCUGCCUGGAAGCCCUUCUUCCUUUCUCCACACAACACAUCCCUCCUUACUCAUUAAAGUCCCGUACAAAUGCUAAAGGCAGCUGAUCUUGUCAGCAAACUUGGCCACCAAAUAGAAAAUCUCCUUCUAUGCCCACUAGUCAUGGACAAAACUCAAAAGUUGCAUGGGAACUUCAGUUAUCGGGCAAUGUUACCAGGGUUUGGGGCAGAAGGAACAGAUAAAAGGGACAAUUCUAAGGAAGAUGAUUGAAAGACUGACCCCAAUGUGGAGAGGAUGAUUCCAGCACUACUCGUACUGCACUAGGAUCAGACAACUUGAAAUCUGCCUUUGCUUUUAUUGGGCAAUCUGUUCCAGGGAUCACAGCCCCUACCUGUAACUGUCACCUCUUUUGAGGUACAAUUACAUUCUUUCCUCUCAUCCCAUUGCAAUGUUUCCAUGCUGAGAGGGCUCCAGAGAGAUGUAGGGAAGCUCUGCUAGUCUCUGUGCUGAAGCUCAGUGCCUGGCAUACCUCUGCCUUUGAUGAGGCUCUGGCACAGCCCUGCAUCAUUCUUCAUUUGCCUGCGCAUUAAAGAAUGCCCCUGGUGGUCAUCAGAGCGCCUUGUGUCAGAGGCUUUGUCUACACCUCUCUGUGCCUAGGUUGCAAGCACAGCUUUGGAUUUUUUUUAUCCUCCUCUCAUGUACUGAUGUUCAAUUUGGCCAGGCGCAGGGGCUCACGCCUGUAAUCCUAACACUUUGGGAGGCUGAGGUGGGCAGAUGACUUGAAGUCAGGAGUUCAAGACCAGCCUGACCAAUAUGGUGAAACCCUGUCCCUACCAAAAAUACAAAAAUUAGCUGAGCAUGGUGGUGCGUGCUUGUAGUCCCAGCUACUCUAGAGGCUAGGGCAGGAGAAUCACUUGAAUCCGGGAGGUGGAGGUUGCAGUGAGCUGAGAUUGUACCACUGCACUCCAGCUGGGGCAUCACAGUGAGACUCCAUCUCAAAAAAAAAGAAAAAGAAAAAGAAAUACCUCUCCCACUCUCCCACCUAUCUUGAAGUGAAAACAUACUUAAUCCACAAGGGAAGUCAGACCAGUCUUGACUGAAAAUAUGGGAAGAGAACUGUGUUCAAAGCCAUACAGGGUGAGUAUUCUGUCUGUGCGUGUGAGUAGAAGGCUCACGGCUCCCUGGUCUCUCUUUCUCUUGAACUUCC